rnacentral:rRNA from 1 species
CACGUAGGGUGCGAGCGUUGUCCGGAAUUAUUGGGCGUAAAGAGCUCGUAGGCGGUGUGUCGCGUCGGCCGUGAAAACCUGCAGCUUAACUGUGGGCUUGCGGUCGAUACGGGCAUCACUGGAGUUCGGCAGGGGAGACUGGAAUUCCUGGUGUAGCGGUGAAAUGCGCAGAUAUCAGGAGGAACACCGGUGGCGAAGGCGGGUCUCUGGGCCGAUACUGACGGCUGAUG